rnacentral:ribozyme from 1 species
AGAGGUCACAAGUUUGAGGCUAUAACAAAAGUGUUCACAGUGCGGCCAUGUCAGAUUCGAAUGAAUCUGCAAAGUCUGCU